CCUACGGGGUGCAGCAGUGAGGAAUAUUGGUCAAUGGACGGAAGUCUGAACCAGCCAUGCCGCGUGCAGGAAGACGGCUCUAUGAGUUGUAAACUGCUUUUGUACAAGGGUAAACCUGAAUACGUGUAUUCAGCUGAAAGUACUGUACGAAUAAGGAUCGGCUAACUCCGUGCCAGCAGCCGCGGUAAUACGGAGGAUCCAAGCGUUAUCCGGAUUUAUUGGGUUUAAAGGGUGCGUAGGCGGAUUGAUAAGUUAGAGGGUAAAUGUCCGAGCUUAACUCGGGAACUGCCUCUAAUACUGUUGAUCGAGAGAGUAGAUGCGGUAGGCGGAAUGUAUGGUGUAGCGGUGAAAUGCUUAGAGAUCAUACAGAACACCGAUUGCGAAGGCAGCUUACCAAUCUAUAUCUGACGUUGAGGCACGAAAGCGUGGGGAGCAAACAGGAUUAGAUACCCUGGUAGUC
rnacentral:rRNA from 1 species